CCCGCAUUGUGGAGGAUAUACCAAACUGUCAUGGCUGCACUUCAGAGAAUCCUGUAGGCCUACCUGAACAAAGGGUACCGAAAAAUCAUGAGAAUUAGUGCGGCAAUCAGGGUCUACUUUAAUCCAAUAGAGUAGCCUACAGCACUCUGUUGGAUUAAAAACCAGGAUCUUGCCAGGAGUGGGGGAAAAAAAUGAGAUCACCAAUGGAAGAAGCCACUACAGCUUGAAGGAUGAGCAGAGGACAUACACAUGACAUUCUUUGGCUGGGAAUAAAUUGCUGAAUGUGUCCUUCUCAUUCAGCUGAUUUCCUCAGAUUCAGCCAAGAUGCUUAUCGUCCAAAAAGCGAGCCUAUAUCUGAGAACGAAAAACAGACGCAUUUUAUGACUGUUUUCUUAAAAUACAUUUUAAUUACAGUAAAUUCACUUACAUAAUCCUGUUUUAAUGGUUCUGGACAUCCCAUGCCAGGGCAUUUCAACAACCAGUGAAACUCCACUCACAAAAGAGAAACAAAAAUAAUACAGAAAACAGCUUGCCUUAUAUCAAUGGUUAACGUUAGUUUUUUCAUAAUGUACACAUAGCAUGUACUCAAUUACCUAAGAUUUGCACCUGUAUGAGAACACUAAUAAAAAAUGAUGAGCAUAAAUUCUCCCAAAAUCACUUAAUGACACAAAAUAUGAAUAUAUGUGUAUCAAAUAA